AACCUCUAAAUACAACAAACGGAAAACCAAAAGGGAAAAAGGAACGUUGGCGGCAAAAUCUCAAAUUUCCCUUUUUAGAAUCUCACAUAAUCCCCAAUCAAAAGCCCUACCAAAACCGCCACUGCCCAUACCCAAAUCGAACCCAACGCCGGCCCGGCCCCCGAACCUUCGAAGCUACCCGCGUUCGUUCCGGUCGUCAGAACCACCACCAUCCAGUCGUCUUCCUUCCCUAGCCCCGCACCGACGAAUCUUGAAUCGUUCAAAUACUUCGCGUACUGGGAGUGGGUGUAGUUCGUAAGCAGCAGAGUUUGGACUAGUUUUGGUACGCACACCGGCAUCACCACGGCGUCAGCGGUGGUGUUGAUAUCUACCUUGCAUUUCUCGGCGUAAUCCGGGAACUUCGUGAUUUGUGACGGUCGGCUUGCAACGACGUUUGAUUUGGUGGUGGUGACAGCACAGGGUUGGUCUUCAGCAUCGUCGGCCAUCUCGUUUGCAACGCAGUCGGCUUUUGCGUUCUUCACGAGCGGCGGGAGGUUUUGUGCUUGUCGGUAGCUGUUUAGGCCUUGGAGAAGAUUGUCCUCUUCAUCUGCAAUCAGAUUGCAAGAUCAUAAAGCAUUUGGAUGCAUUGUGGUAGCAAGUUGAUGCUCCUUAGUUUUGAUAUGGUUGCAUGCUAGAGAAGAAGGAGACGAAGACAAAAAAGACCUUACUCAAACCCAAUAAUAAAAAAUUGAAGAGGAUAGAAAAGAAGAAAAAAAAAAGGCAAGAAUGGUAGAUUUAUAACUUUGCACAUCCCCAAUGUCCAACUAAAGGGCAAUUAUUAUCGAUAUUCCUUUUUAAAUAUAGUGUGUUUUGCAUUUUGAAUCGUUUUUAAAAGAGUUAAGUUAA